UACGUAGGCAGCAAUCGUUGUUCGGAGUUACUGGGCGUAAAGGGUGUGUAGGCGGUUGUUUAAGUUUGGUGUGAAAUCUCCCGGCUCAACUGGGAGGGUGCGCCGAAUACUGAAUGACUAGAGUGCGGGAGAGGAAAGUGGAAUUCCUGGUGUAGCGGUGAAAUGCGUAGAUAUCAGGAGGAACACCGGUGGUGUAGACGGCUUUCUGGACCGUAACUGACGCUGAGACACGAAAGCGUGGGUAGCAAACAGG
rnacentral:rRNA from 1 species